CUUGGAAGAAAGAAACUCAUCCCACCCCUAUCUCAGUCCCAAGCUCUCAUCCCCAUCUCAACCUCAACACCCAACUUCAAAUCUGGAUUGUUUGAAACCCAGCCCCCUUCCCCAACCUCUCUCUCUCUCUCUCUCUCUCUCUCUCUCUCUCUCGCACAGAUUAGCAGCUUCAAGCCCAUCCCCAUCAUCUUUACCCGCAACUCUCACAAGUCCCUCUGAGUACGGCACGCUGGAAGUGGUGGCGUAGCAACCUCAUCUUCGACGACGGUGGGGGAGAAGUACCCAUCUCCUAGCCAUCGGAAACUGGAGCCCUACUUUGUGACACCUCGUUACAAAUUUGGAGGCCUUUGGUUUCCCCUGCCUCCCUUCAUCGAACCAUCCUCUAGGUAUUCAUGGAUUUUGAUCCAUUUUUGUUGUAUGGCGGAUUGGUUGUGUUGGGGUAUGGGCUGUGGAUGAUUGGAUCUAGUGAGGGAAAAGGGAAAUUAUGGCUGUAGGGAGAGAAGGUUGGGGCUGUGGGGUGGGAACUUGUGGGGAAAAGGAGAUGCGAUG
rnacentral:lncRNA from 1 species